rnacentral:rRNA from 1 species
AACGAACGCUGGCGGCAUGCCUAACACAUGCAAGUCGAACGAGACCUUCGGGUCUAGUGGCGCACGGGUGCGUAACGCGUGGGAACCUGCCCUUAGGUUCGGAAUAACUCCCCGAAAGGGGUGCUAAUACCGGAUAAUGUCUUCGGACCAAAGAUUUAUCGCCUUUGGAUGGGCCCGCGUUGGAUUAACUAGUUGGUAGGGUAAAAGCCUACCAAGGCGACGAUCCAUAGCUGGUCUGAGAGGAUGAUCAGCCACACUGGGACUGAGACACGGCCCAGACUCCUACGGGAGGCAGCAGUGGGGAAUAUUGGACAAUGGGCGAAAGCCUGAUCCAGCAAUGCCGCGUGAGUGAUGAAGGCCUUAGGGUUGUAAAGCUCUUUUACCCGGGAUGAUAAUGACAGUACCGGGAGAAUAAGCUCCGGCUAACUCCG